CUUAAGUUAGAGUAGUCCAUGGUAGGCCUUGCUAUUGCACAGUUUGUGUUUGUUUUGGUCAUUGCUUACGUUUACGUUCCCUAUUUACGUUCCUUAUGCCUGAAUCAUCCGGGGCGUUUUUAGAAUUCCAGGAAAAGUGAUAAUAGUUUAAAUGAAAACAGAUUUUCAUUAUGCGAGAUGGCAAGUAUUUCGAAUAUAUACUUUUAAAUGGCGUUUUAAUGCUUUUGAAUAUCAAAUCAAAUUUUUGUUUUGCCAUAAAACUUGCCAGAGCUUCAUAUGGGCCAACGGGCGCCUGUAGGAUUGAUUAGACACAGCGUUGCUAAACCCAUAGGGGAUUACAUGCACUGCUAAUUAGUACUACCAAAGGCAUGUAAAGAUUUAUUUCAUGAUUUUUAUGUAAAAGCUGUUCAGUUUUCAUACACUGAUUUGCAGACUUGUUUGUGUCUGUGCUCACAUAUGUGCAAAGUGGAGACUCUUCAUUAUUCUAUUAAAAUGAAUGUUAAAUUGAUUUGUGUUUUUGUCGAACAUAGACUUGGAAAGAAAGUGUACACAAAUCCAGUUUUCAAAAUAUUUGUAUUCCUCACAAGGCAAAACUUUCAGCUCAUCUACUUUUUGAUUAGUUUAAAAUUGGUAUUUCUAAAUCAUGUUCCUGUAUAGUUCAUUUUAUAAAUCUAGAAGUUAUAGUGGUUGUAAUUACAUGGGCUACAGCCCACAACACUACUUCCAUUUCAGCCGUGCAACAUGCAGGACAGGAUACAUUCUAAAAGUGAACUUUCAUGUGGUGGAUGGUCUUCAUUUUUUAUGGUUGGUACUCUCCAUGCACACAUAACAAAUCCAUCAAAUAUACCAUUGAAGAUGCAAAUUUAGAGAAUGAAACGUUAUUCGUUAACUACAAAUACCUAAAUUAUGGUUGGCCGUCAGAAUGCUAUACAUGCGAACUACUCUGUGGGAAGCAUGUGUCCGAUCCAUAUUUCCUUAAAACUCCUUUAUCUGGAUGUGCUGGUAUUUUCCAUUCAUUCGCAAUUACAGCUACCGCGUUUGCGAUGUUGAGAAGCUUCCGUAGUGAUGUAAAAAAUUUAAGUAAUAUUCCGCAUUGUAGCAAGUGAUGUUGUCUUUUACAACUAUUGAAGAGUUCACAAGCUGGUUUUGCCACACCUAUUCCUAGGUGUCAGCUUGAAUAGAAGUCUGGUCAACCAGAUUGAGUCAACACUUUAGUUAGGUCUAAAAAAAGCAUAGAUGCCUGGCUAUAUUUGAAUCUUUCUGUUUAGUUCUCAGGCAUAAAAUCUGGAGCCACAACUUUUCGAGGGAAAGCUGGUCUUAAAACUUAAAAGGCCUCUAGUCAUUAAUUAAUCACGUGGCCUUUCGACUUCACGGGAAAUGUUGGAAUAAUUUAUCAACAAGGAGUGUUAGGUAUAUACUCAACAUUUGAGCCUGACUGAAAGUUUCGUCAGUGCGUGGCUCUGUAUUACAUUCUGUUCUCCGCAUAAUAGCCACUGUAAAAGCUUUAGCACCAUUUCGUUGUUUCGAGCUCGUCAUAGAAAUAAUGGCGGAAAUAGCUGUUGGUAUAGUAUGAAGAAGAAGACCUGGAUUAUACGAUGACCGUAAAUACUGCGAUGUAGGUGGAAAUGCAUAGUUUCGCCUGCGAAUUUUGACGUUUUUACGACUGUUACCGUGCAGCAGCCGGCAGUAGCGAUACUUGCACGGUGAUUAUUUUCUGCAGCCAUUUUCGUCAUAUGAAGCUUUCGUCGGAGAGCCUUACAUAGUUUUAGAAACGGUUCUAAACUGGUCUUCUGGGCGGGGUUGCUUUGUUUUUCAAAGUUUUCUACAGUACCACCUUUUGUUAAUGAGCACGUUAAAAAGGUGAUGUGUAUCACUAAUUUUACUUGAAUCCGAAUCUCGCAGUUCUACUGAAAAUUAAAUUUGGGCGGCAAUCUUGUAAGUAACAGGAAGCUUUUUUGUUUGUUUGUUUUUUGUUGAUUUUUUGCCCAUCCUUUGACAGUUUUUUCAAAUGUCUUUUCCUAGAGAAUUUAAAUUCUUGACGUCUGACUAUCAUUACGAAGCAUCUGGCCUGCAUUCUUAAAACCAAAGCAGUGGAUCUAUUUUCGUCGACAGAAAAGAAAUUCCCUAAUUAGUGCUGUUUUCUCAGUUUCUUUUUCCAUAGGUACUCCCUAAGCAAGUGAGUCACCUUAGCUUAAACCCCGCACCAGCUGAACAUUUUCCGAAAUGGUAUUGUCUAUAGAAGUCAUUGUUAAUUGCGUUUCUGUGUCGUGGAAUUUUAAUUCUCGGGAUCUUCUAUUGACAGUUUGAACCUUAAUCGCAUUUACUUAUUUUUUGUUUCUUAAUUAAUUUAUUGAGUUUCAUUUUGGUUUUGUUUUUGUUUCUUACAGUUGAUCUCAUUCUUCUUUUCAUACAAUGUACUAAAGGGAAUUUGUGAAGUCUGAAUUUUGUUAGGUGUUCCCGGAUAGUAUAUUCGACAGUUAAUUAGCCAUGUUUUGGCUGCUAUACUCCGGCUCAAGCACAAUCUUUGCGGUCUUCAAACAUAUGCCAAGUAGUCCACAACGAAUAAUAGCCCGUGUAGAGCAUUCAUGAUAUCUAAACCCUCUUAGAAUCAGAUGUAUUGCCUGCAGGAGUUGUUUCUUAUGCUGCUAUUCCUCUAUUGACAUUGGAACAUUCCCGACAGGAAUUAAAAUGAACGUGAAUAUUCCAUCUCGGAUUUGUUGCACUCAUUUAGUAUUAGUACUGUGACGCGUUAUCGGCUGGAAAUGCGCUCCUGCGAGAUACCUUUUAAGGGCCACGAUCAAGAGCGAGGUUUGUCAACCAAAAUCACCUUACUCUUUAGAGAGCCACAAAUGCACACCUCAUUAGUAAAUAAAGAUUUGUUUUUUACGUUUGCCUUUAACACUAUCAAUUGAAGUGACAGCUUGCCUGAAAUUGUGCGGGAAAAAUAAAGCAGCCCUAUAAUCUUGGUGACCAGUUGAAAAGCUGUAACACUUAACUACGCUCUUGGCAUCUAGAGCUUUACAAGGAGUGCCUAUAGGAUAGGUAAGUUGAAAAAAUGGAUUUAAAGGGCCAUAAAAAUCACAGCUCAAUUUCAUUGGCUGGUGGGCUAGUUAAAGGAGAACGCCUUAGUCACCCAAGAGCAUGUUAACGCAUUGCUUGUAUUUAUUAGGACUUGUACUAUGACGUCAUUUAAGUACAAUAACAAUAACCCGAAACGAUAAAGGGAAGAAAAGCCAAUUAUGUGAUGACACGUUUUUUAUUUAAGACUUCAUUGUAUGGAGGGAAAAGAUUGCACACGAUGGUAUACUAAUGGCCUCGAAUAUUCCGUCAGUGAUAAGAGGCGAUUUGAACAUAUCCCUGUCUGAGGUUGGCGGUCAUCGUAAAUCCUUUCACCAGUUCCGAAAUCGUAACCAAUAGUUAUUGCAACUGAUGAGACGGGAACACAGGAACCGAAAAACCAAGCGAAGGGGAAAGAGUUGACUCUUAGCUUGACCCACUUCCAUUUGUUUUUCUUUCUUUGCGCCACCUUCAACAUGUAAACAAAAUAGAGGAAAAGCAAAGAAGAGAAGAGGACAGCACCGAAGUAAUGGCUUGAUAGGCGAGGAUGUGCCAAAACCAAAUAUGAGCCUAGCGGAAAGAAGCCAAAUGGUAGACAUAAGACAUACAUCGUUGUAUAAUGACAUCAUUGCAUUAUUUUAUUUCUUACGUCUGUUUGCAGCCAUGUAGGUAUUACUGUAAAUACAGUUUUCCUUUCCUUGAAGCUUCCCAAUUUUGCAUGUGGCCUCGGAAGCACCUCGGGGCAGUUCACUAACGUUUUUAAAGAGAAGCCCUAUGGCCUCAUUUUGCUAUUUCUAAAAAAGUCUAAAAUCAACCGAAUUCGCACGUGGUCCUCGUAACGUGGACGCAGAUCAUAUAAAUGCGGUACUUUUUGGGCAGAACGUACCAUUUGGUGCGACAUUGACCCACUUUGCAGUCGGUUUUGCAACUUGUCAGAACAUUCCUUCCUGGCUGUUUAUGUGGUGCCUGUGUUAUGUUCUGCAACAUAUUACCUCGAUGAGGUUGUCAAGAUCAAGUUUCUUUAUUUCUACAACAACAUUGAUUUUCCUUGAGCAUGAGUCUUCCUGGACUGCUAUAUGGUUGUAAAGCUACAUAAAUUAUUGGAUCUAACGGUAAGAUGUAUACUUUGGCUGCGUUAUCUUCCUCAGAAACGUGUUGAACACCUGGGUUUCCCGAAACGAUCCAAAAUCGGUUUGACCAACAAGUUUUUAUGGCCUUUUGAGAAAAGGACUGUCACUGAUCACCGCAACCCCUCGUUUUUUGUUAAAGCUCCAUACACCGCAUGGUGCAGCGAAUAUUUUACGCGAUUCAAAAGUUAUGAGUCUGCAUAAGCACAGUUGCGAAGUUCAAACAUCAAUUCGCGUACUGGAAACGCAAUGUUUGUGGAUACAGCGAAAGAGGAAGGCGCAUCCGUGGGUAUUUCGGCAUUGACCUACUAAUUGAAGCGCUCCUCCUUACAGUAAAUUUUCGCCACUAUCUUUUUUCCUUCUGGUGCGCAACAUUCUAUUUCUUUCUUGUUACAAUCCUCUGCGGUAUGACGAUUACAAAACAUUGGCUUGUGUUUGUUUACAUGUUCUUAAUAGCAUAAUUGAUUGGUCUUUCAUCCCAAGGCCGUAAUGUAAAACACAGCUAUAACAUCGGGUGCGCUUCUUUUUCCACAUAAGAUCAUGAACGAUUUUCAGAUUCAGCAAAGCUAAAUGAUGGCGUUUUUAAGGCUUCGUUAAACAAGUACAAGAAAGAGAUGGUUCAAAACUGAUACGAAUGGACAGGAUGAAAAUGAAAGCACGAUGGGUUAAGAUGGAUACGGUAA